rnacentral:rRNA from 1 species
GCGACCAUAGCGUUAUGGACCCACCUGAUCCCAUGCCGAACUCAGAAGUGAAACGUAAUAGCGCCGAUGGUAGUGUGGGGCUUCCCCAUGUGAGAGUAGGACAUCGCCAGGC